GCGGCUUUGGCGCAGUAGGUGGCGCGUAGGUCUCAUAAUCCUAAGGUCGCGAGUUCGAUCCUCGCAGGCCGCA
rnacentral:tRNA from 1 species